AUUGAACGCUGGCGGCAUGCCUUACACAUGCAAGUCGAACGGUAACAGGUCUUCGGAUGCUGACGAGUGGCGAACGGGUGAGUAAUGCAUCGGAACGUGCCCAGUUGUGGGGGAUAACUGCUCGAAAGAGCAGCUAAUACCGCAUACGACCUGAGGGGGAAAGCGGGGGAUCGCAAGAUCUCGCGCAAUUGGAGCGGCCGAUGUCAGAUUAGGUAGUUGGUGGGGUAAAGGCCUACCAAGCCGACGAUCUGUAGUUGGUCUGAGAGGACGACCAGCCACACUGGGACUGAGACACGGCCCAGACUCCUACGGGAGGCAGCAGUGGGGAAUUUUGGACAAUGGGCGCAAGCCUGAUCCAGCAAUGCCGCGUGCAGGAAGAAGGCCUUCGGGUUGUAAACUGCUUUUGUCAGGGAAGAAAUCCUCUGGGUUAAUACCCCGGGGGGAUGACGGUACCUGAAGAAUAAGCACCGGCUAACUACGUGCCAGCAGCCGCGGUAAAAC
rnacentral:rRNA from 1 species